CAGUCGCCGCGGGAAUACGUAGGUGGCAAGCGUUGUCCGGAAUUAUUGGGCGUAAAGGGCUCGCAGGCGGUUUCUUAAGUCUGAUGUGAGAGCCCCCGGCUCAACCGGGGAGGGUCAUUGGAAACUGGGAAACUUGAGUGCAGAAGAGGAGAGUGGAAUUCCACGUGUAGCGGUGAAAUGCGUAGAGAUGUAGAGGAACACCAGUGGCGAAGGCGACUCUCUGGUCUGUAACUGACGCUGAGGAGCGAAAGCGUGGGGAGCGAACAGGAUUAGAUACCCGUGUAGUCCCUGUCUCUUAUAU
rnacentral:rRNA from 1 species